rnacentral:rRNA from 1 species
UACGUAGGGGGGCUAGCGUUGUCCGGAAUCAUUGGGCGUAAAGAGCGUGUAGGCGGCCCGGUAAGUCCGCUGUAAAAGUCAAAGGCUCAACCUUUGAAUGUCAGUGGAUACUGCCGGGCUAGAGUCCGGAAGAGGCGAGUGGAACUCCUGGUGUAGCGGUGGAAUGCGCAGAUAUCAGGAAGAACACCAACGGCGAAGGCAGCUCGCUGGGACGGUACUGACGCUGAGACGCGAAAGCGUGGGGAGCAAACAGG